CGAAGCGAACAAACUAUUUGGGCGAAAUGUCGUUUUGUUGCGGCGACUGAAACAUCAAAAAAAUGCAAAAGUCAACAUGACAAAGCAACUCGAGUUGCAGAACAAAGAAAAAGCAGAGAAAAAGUCUAGAACGGGGGAGGUGAAGGGAAAAAGGACAAGACAAUAGAAUGAACUGAACUCUGCUGCUGCUCUCGGAGGCCGCAACAAAGGCGCUCGCCAAUAGGCGUGACGCACACAGCGACUCAUGUGGCAUGCGGCAUGUGGCAUGUGGCAUGGGACACGGGGAUGAAGCUUGGAUUUUGAUGUGGCUCAUGCAGCUCAGGGCAAACUUUUGCAUAUUUGUUAAAUACUUUAAUUAAUAAUUUAGAGAGAUAGCAAAGGCAAAAAGAUACCGAAGGGAGAGAGAACGCGCGCAGAGCUCACAAACAAACAGAGACGUGAAAGGGGGGAGGGGGGAAAGCGGCAGCAGAAAGUUGAGCAAACAACUAACAAAAGAUCAAGGAUUAUGCGUGCCCACAGUUCGUCAUUAUCUUUGUGUCAAGACUAUGCCCGGCAUGGUUAUGGAAUGCUUUUGAGUCGCAUCUCCCACAACUUGCUUAAGUUUCGCUCAAUUGAUGGAGACAACCAUGAGGGGGGAGUAGAAGGGGGAGGGUAGAGCUUGUGUGUGUGUGUCCUGGUGACCAGCCAAAGGGCUCCAGGAGUUCCUUCGUCUUCUUCUUGUCAGCAACGAAAAAAAUGCGGCUGGCGGCAAUUGCAUUCAACGCUGUGAAAUAACUCAUAACUUGCGAAAGAUGUAAAAAAAAAAAAAAACAACAAAACAAACAACAAAAAUUAGGAAUGAAAAGCAAAUAACAGGCAAGAAGAUUUUAAAGCACAUGGAAACGCAGCUCAUCAAGUUAGCUUUAAACAAGCUAAUACAACAACAAGCUAAUACAAAUUUCAGAUUAAAACAAAUUCAAGAUUUAAUACGAAAUUACGAACUUGAAGCACAAUUAUAUUAGGAAUCAGGGUAAAAAAGCAAAUA